AUGAUGCAGAAUUUUUAACCAUGCUUCUCUGUAGGGCGCCCUCCUGUGGUAAACAGGGGUACUGCGCAUGGGCAGGCUUUGCACCUGGCAUCAGUUGACCGGUAAUAUGCUAACGAGGGAGCAGUACCAUGCCAAUCCCUGAAGGACAAUUAGCAUAGCCUCAGCCUGCUGUCUAUAUGAGGCUAGUGCUCUUGCUGCUUGGGUUCCCCGUAUCAGCAAUGAAGGUGUCCUGCAAUAAAGGCUGUUGACAAGGAUCCGACAGUGUUGCGUCUUCCUUACUGGACGAGUGGCAGCAUCUCACCAGACUCUCCUACAUCACGACUGGGAUCAAGCAACAACUGAUUUCUGUCUUCACAAGGAUCCCAUUGCAUAAAGCCAGCGUGAGACAGAAAUGAGGAAGAUUUCCUGGUAAGGGUCAGGAGGAAUCUCUGGAGUGAUGGGAAUUCUCCUUUCUGCUUCGAGCAAGAUUACACCUACAGGUAAAUAGAUUGAGUGUGAAUCUGUUCACUUAUGAGCUGUGUGUUUUAUUGGAAGGGUUGUAAGGUUUUUACCAGGAAACUUAAAGAAAUAAAGACAUUUUACUCAUUUUACUUAACAUCCUCCAAGUUCAUUUGUGUCAUCAACAUGACACGGUUUUCUUCAUGCGUAUAGUUGGCUGUUGCUCUGUCAUGUGAAUAUACUUUUUUUUCUAUCCAUUCACCCACUAAAUCCUUAGGUUGAUUCUCUACACUGGCUAUUUUGACUAGUGUUGCAAUAAACACAGAUCUCUCUUUGACCUACUGACUUUAGACCUACACCCUGUAAUAGAGCUGCUGGACCAUAUGGCGAGUUCUAUUAUCUGGCACUCAUAAUUUUCGCUUCCUAGGAGCCUCCACACGGCUCUCCAUCAUAGCUACGUUAAUUUACAUUUCUACUCACACUGUGUAAGAGUUCAGGUUUCUCAUAUCUUUGCCAAUGCUUAUUAUCCCCACUCUUUCUGAUAAUAGCCAUUUUUUAAAAAGGAAUGAGAUGGAAUCUCAUUAUGGUCUCAAUUUGCAUUUCCCUGACAAUUAGUGAUGUUAAGACAGACACAGAAAGAUGACUGUUGACAAUUUCACUUUUCUACAGAAGACAAGGAUAAAUAAUCUCAUAGAUGAAGAGAUCAGAAUAAUGGGUACCACUGUCCAGGGUGGAUAGGAGGAAAAUAGUAUCGAAAGAUGCUAAUCAGAGAUCAAUAUUUAUAGUUAGACAGAGGUAAGCUCAAGAAAGCUAUCUAUGGUGACGAUGUAAGUGGUAGCACAUUGGUUAUGCAAUGCUAAGGAAAGGAUGCUAAAUGUUCUUAACACAAAAUGAUGGGAGGGAAGGCAUUUACUAAUGACAUUGGCUUUCUACCUCACAAAGUAUGUAUUCAUCUGAAUGUACAACUGCAGAUUACAAAUACAUACAAUUUUAUAUGUCAGUUUAGGAACAAAAAGUCAAGCCUAAGCAAUAUGUAAUUAUUUAGUGGAAAGAAAAUUGGCAUGUCAAUGCACCCACUUAACUUUUUUAAAAAAAGAGACUUUUUUCCAAGUAUUUUCAAGUGUAAAAAUCAUUCUAUUUUUUUCAGGUAAAAGCCUGUGGGUUAUUCUAAACAGAAAAACUCAGCCUUGUGGGUUAAUAUUCUUGAGAGAAACAAAGAGAAGCCAGUAGCACAUAAAUAUUUCAGUUCUUAUUAAUUAAAAAUAGGAUGCUUCACAAUCUAGAGGUUUUUAAGAUGUGAAAGGACCCAAGGAAGCAAAGGUGAGGAGAUCAAACAGGACCCUGAAACUAACAGCUGCGACUCAGGUAGUUAAUAAACAUGCAGAGCAAAAACAACCUCAAUAGAGAGCUGUGGAAAGUCUGAGGCUUGCAGGUAAUUAG